rnacentral:lncRNA from 1 species
AAUUGAGAAGUGAUUAAUGUAUCAAUUGCAAGCAUCUCUGGCAGAGCUUAGUAGAAGGAGAUAUUGGGGAGCGGGAAGGGAGUAGGGUCUUAAUAUGUGUUCCACACAUCAGUGCCUCUGAAACUGCAUUGGAUAUGAGUCACUUGGGACUUUGGUUAAAAUGCAGAUUCUGAUGCAUUUGAUCUGGGGUGGGGCUUGAGUCUGCAUUUCUAAAGCUCCCGGAUACUGCUGGACCUUGGACCACACUUUGCGUAACAAAGCACAACAUCCCCUGGCUGUUUCUGCCCCCGACACAGAAAGGGUAGAGGCAGGAGUGGCCUGAUUCAUUGAGCUUCCUUCUUGGACCACAUUUCACUGGUUCUGCUGCAGCUGGAAUCCCACUUGAUCCAUCAGGUGCAUCUUCCCCAGCAUCCUGGAAGCACCUCUCCUGGAAAGACAAACAAAGGCCCACUCUAGGGAAGCUUCUAUCCAGGGCAUGGUGGGUGAGAGAUUGCAUAGCUCCCCAGGAUUUCACCAGCAAGAAUUCCAUCUCCACCGGCUGCUCCCCUUCUCAUGUUUGGACAAUGAUGAUGAAAGGCCCACAGGUUUCCAGCUAAGUGUUGGAGACCGGCUGGCAGCCUUGAAAAUGCCAGCUUUUCCAGAGGUUGAUAAGCACCGGGGAAAUAUUUUUCAUGCUGAGCAGGGCUACACAAAUUGCCCAGCAUCUGGAACAAAUUGCUGUGUGGGUACCUGGGCUGCCAAGGAGCAGGUGAGAAGAGGCUGCCAUCAGACCAAGAAAGAGCCUCCUGAUUGCAGGCAGUGGAGAAGCCCACUGGGAUGCUGUGUGGCCUCCGUGUCCAGUGGUGGAAGCAGCAUUUCCCCAGAGCCAAGAGGAGGAGAGGACGAAGUCCACCCACUGGCAACCCAGGGGAGAGGGUUUUGCUGAGAGUGUGGAAAAUGGAUUCUGAUCAUUGGAUUUGCCUGCAUGGAUCAUGCUGAGCUCCAAGCACCAGAUACAAAUGAUAGCACAGGUGACCAUGGCUAUGCUACUGCCCCCCGCCCCUAGAGCCUCUGGUACCAGGGCUAGUCCCAUAGGCGCAUUAUCAGCAAAUUCUCCUAAUAGCUCUUUGAAACUGGCAUCAGAGAGCAGGACCCUCAAGGCAGCCACAGAUCCUGACAACAACCAGCCCUGUCAUCCCCUCGUGUCAAUGAAGGAUGGGCUGCUGGGAGCAAUGCGUGGGGUCCUCAGCCAGCGCCAGACUAACGUGCCCACCUUUGUGCAUGGGUCCUGCCGUACCAUUGUCUUACAUCCCCACCCAGGUUUUUCUGCUUCACUCUUCAUCCACCACCACCUCCAAACGCAUCCCAUCCACUGCUGAGCCUCGUCUUCUCCAACAGAACAAGCUCUGGGCUGCGCAUCCCCCAGCCCCUGGCCCCUGCAUCUCCUCGGAAAGACCCCAGCCAGGCCUCCCUGAUCAGGUGAUGUCCCACGAGGUGACACUCUCCUCCCCAUUUAUCACACAACAAAAACUCUUGGGGAAAAAUAAAUUAAGUCCAGACUGGGAAAAAAAAAAAAUAGCAGCCCUUUCCUCCAAGUUAAUUAAUUUGAGCACUAUUUUCAGGAAAAGCGGUUCUUAAAUCCCUAUCGCUGAAGGCAAUUUUCUUGCCACAAUCACUCAGUGUCCCUGACAGAAAGGAGCAUAAUCGCUCCUUGACAGAAGGUGACUGGCAGAAAGAAGGCCGAGGGGAAAGCGGAUUUCCGCAGCCACGGGAGGGGCCGCAGAGGCCCUGGAGGACCCGCUCCCCAAGCCCAGGGAAACCCCAGUGUCUGAUGAACACGGCUAUCUCUGCAGAAAGUGACUGCUGUGGGCACGUGGUGUGUGGCUGGGUGUGCACGUGUGUACUUAUGUGUGCAAGUCCUUGUAUGCAAGCACACGUGUGCACGUGUGCAUGCCUGCCUGUGUCUGUGCAUGCGUGGAUGUAUGGGUGCUGGUAGGGAGAGGGAAUAGCAGAGUUUUUGCAUGCACGGGACCCUGGGUGUGGGCACCCUGACCUCCCAGCACAUGUGUAUAGCCUGGGACGCCCUCCGCAAGCCCUAGAGGCUGCUUGACUCAGAUUGGGUCCUUUCCUGCUUCUGGGCUUGGCCUCCUUUCAAGCCCAGGUCCAGAUGGCCUCUCUCUCUCUCUCUCUCUCUCUCUCUCUCUCUCUCUCUCUCUCUCUCUCUCAGGCAUGGAAUUGACCAUUAUUGAUGGGAAAAUGAUGAUGGAGCUUUUUCCCCCUCUUAGAAAUAAGGGUAAAAUCUAGGGUCAGUGCCCAGGUUCCCUUAGCCAUUAAGGGUAAAAAUAGCUUCCAUUAAUCAAGCAACCAGUCACUAAGCUAAGCACUUCUGCAUUUGCACGCGUUACUUCUUAGAUUCCCUUGCACACCCCUGAUCACAAGGUCCACAGGGGAGGAAACUGAGGCUCAAAGUCAGCAUGACUCACCUGUCAUGCACACAGCCAGGCCUCCAGCCCAGUCGCCUGGACUGUCAGAGCUCCCUGUGCUGAACCGCUGCACCGCCCUGGAGCUGGUUACCAGGUCCUGGACCUCCCUCCAGCCGGUCCUCCUGCCAAAGGAACCGCAGUCCCUGGACACCCUUGACCAGGAAGAAUGUCACAACCAGGGCUGCUUCUUCCCCCUAGAACCUAAGACCUCUCCACAGACUUUCCCAGCUGGAGGACAGACUGCACGCUGCUUCUGAGGGGUUAGCGUGAUGCCGAGGAGACAGAGAUGACUUGAGCCCUGGCCCCUUUGCUCGUUACAGCGGUGGCUCUCUUACGUCAUCUUAGAGCUGUGAUCAUGCAGGAGCAACCAGAGGGCAAAAUAAUUGCCUCUUCGGGUGUUUUGAGCUUUAAAUGAGAGAAUGUAUUUAAAUGGCUUAACAUCGUGACCUGCUUGUGUUCUGUGGUACAAACAACAUGUAAAGAAUAAAGAAUUGUUCAGGA